rnacentral:rRNA from 1 species
AUUGAACGCUGGCGGCAGGCUUAACACAUGCAAGUCGAGCGGUAACAGAGAGAAGCUUGCUUCUCUGCUGACGAGCGGCGGACGGGUGAGUAAUGCCUAGGAAUCUGCCUAGUAGUGGGGGAUAACUUGCCGAAAGGUAAGCUAAUACCGCAUACGUCCUACGGGAGAAAGGAGGGGACCUUCGGGCCUUUCGCUAUUAGAUGAGCCUGGGUCGGCUUAGUUAGUUGGUGAGGUCAUGGCUCACCAAGACCGCGAUCCGUAACUGGGCUGAGAGGAUGAUCAGUAACAGUGGAACUGAGACAAGGUCCAGACUCCUACGGGAGGCAGCCGUGGGGAAUAUUGGACAAUGGGGGGAACCCUGAUCCAGCCAUGCCGCGUGUGUGAAGAAGGUCUUAGGAUUGUAAAGCACUUUAAGUUGGGAGGAAGAGCAGUUAACUAAUAUUUGACUGUUUUGACGUUACCGACAGAAUAAGCACCGGCUAACUUCGUGCCAGCCGCCGCCGUAA